rnacentral:rRNA from 1 species
AGGGCACCACCAGGAGUGGAGCCUGCGGCUUAAUUUGACUCAACACGGGAAAACUCACCCGGCCCGGACACUGGAAGGAUUGACAGAUUGAGAGCUCUUUCUUGAUUCAGUGGGUGGUGGUGCAUGGCCGUUCUUAGUUGGUGGAGUGAUUUGUCUGGUUAAUUCCUAUAACGAACGAGACUCUAGCCUAUUAAAUAGAUCGUUGGCUUACAAACGCCGGCGAGACUUCUUAGAGGGACAGGCGGCGAUUCAGCCGCACGAAACAGAGCAAUAACAGGUCUGUGAUGCCCUUAGAUGUCCGGGGCCGCACGCGCGCUACACUGAAGUGAUCAGCGUGCAUUUUGAAACCUACUCUGUCAAGAGUGGGGAACCCAAUGAACCUUCUUCGUGAUUGGGAUAGGGGAUUGUAAUUAUUCCCCUUGAACGAGGAAUUCCCAGUAAGCGCGAAUCAUAAGUUUGCGCUGAUUACGUCCCUGCCCUUUGUACACACCGCCCGUCGCUACUACCGAUUGAAUGUUU